GUCCAAUGAACCUAACCAAUAAACAAUAUCUGUUUAACAUUACAACUACUAAUAAAUCUGGGAAUGGAUCUACUAGUAACAUAACUGUGGAAUUUCACUUAGAUUCAAAAAUUUCAAUCGUUCAUCAAGAAUCUACAUAUCACAUGGACAACAACUGGAGUUUACAAUUCCUUUUACCAGAUUAUCAAAUAUGUACUGGAUCACUUGCUAAUAUUACAG